GAAGAGCAUUUGAAACAGCAAGACUUGAGUACAGGAGAGGGAAGCGGAAUUCCUGGUGUAGAGGUGAAAUUCGUAGAUAUCAGGAGGAACACCCAUGGCGAAGGCAGCUUUCUGGACUGAUACUGACGCUGAGGCGCGAAGGUGUGGGUAGCGAACAGGAUUAGAUACCCUGGUAGUCCACACAGUAAACGAUGUUCACUAGGUGUAGCGGGUAUUAAAACCUGCUGUGCCGGAGUUAACGCAUUAAGUGAACCGCCUGGGGAGUACGGUCGCAAGAUUAAAACUCAAAGGAAUUGACGGGGGCCCGCACAAGCGGUGGAGCAUGUGGUUUAAUUCGACGCAACGCGAAGAACCUUACCUGGAUUUGACAUCCUGUGAAUCCCCGAGAGAUCG
rnacentral:rRNA from 1 species